rnacentral:tRNA from 2 species
GGAGGUGUCGCAUAGUGGUCGAUUGCAAACGCUUGGAAAGCGUUGACCUUCGGGUUUCGUGGGUUCGAAUCCCUCCACCUCCG